AGUCGAGCGGUAGCACAGAGAGCUUGCUCUCGGGUGACGAGCGGCGGACGGGUGAGUAAUGUCUGGGAAACUGCCUGAUGGAGGGGGAUAACUACUGGAAACGGUAGCUAAUACCGCAUAACGUCGCAAGACCAAAGUGGGGGACCUUCGGGCCUCAUGCCAUCAGAUGUGCCCAGAUGGGAUUAGCUGGUAGGUGGGGUAACGGCUCACCUAGGCGACGAUCCCUAGCUGGUCUGAGAGGAUGACCAGCCACACUGGAACUGAGACACGGUCCAGACUCCUACGGGAGGCAGCAGUGGGGAAUAUUGCACAAUGGGCGCAAGCCUGAUGCAGCCAUGCCGCGUGUGUGAAGAAGGCCUUCGGGUUGUAAAGCACUUUCAGCGGGGAGGAAGGCGGUGAGGUUAAUAACCUUGUCGAUUGACGUUACCCGCAGAAGAAGCACCGGCUAACUCCGUGCCAGCAGCCGCGGUAAUACGGAGGGUGCAAGCGUUAAUCGGAAUUACUGGGCGUAAAGCGCACGCAGGCGGUCUGUCAAGUCGGAUGUGAAAUCCCCGGGCUCAACCUGGGAACUGCAUUCGAAACUGGCAGGCUAGAGUCUUGUAGAGGGGGGUAGAAUUCCAGGUGUAGCGGUGAAAUGCGUAGAGAUCUGGAGGAAUACCGGUGGCGAAGGCGGCCCCCUGGACAAAGACUGACGCUCAGGUGCGAAAGCGUGGGGAGCAAACAGGAUUAGAUACCCUGGUAGUCCACGCUGUAAACGAUGUCGAUUUGGAGGUUGUGCCCUUGAGGCGUGGCUUCCGGAGCUAACGCGUUAAAUCGACCGCCUGGGGAGUACGGCCGCAAGGUUAAAACUCAAAUGAAUUGACGGGGGCCCGCACAAGCGGUGGAGCAUGUGGUUUAAUUCGAUGCAACGCGAAGAACCUUACCUGGUCUUGACAUCCACAGAACUUUCCAGAGAUGGAUUGGUGCCUUCGGGAACUGUGAGACAGGUGCUGCAUGGCUGUCGUCAGCUCGUGUUGUGAAAUGUUGGGUUAAGUCCCGCAACGAGCGCAACCCUUAUCCUUUGUUGCCAGCGGUUAGGCCGGGAACUCAAAGGAGACUGCCAGUGAUAAACUGGAGGAAGGUGGGGAUGACGUCAAGUCAUCAUGGCCCUUACGACCAGGGCUACACACGUGCUACAAUGGCAUAUACAAAGAGAAGCGACCUCGCGAGAGCAAGCGGACCUCAUAAAGUAUGUCGUAGUCCGGAUUGGAGUCUGCAACUCGACUCCAUGAAGUCGGAAUCGCUAGUAAUCGUAGAUCAGAAUGCUACGGUGAAUACGUUCCCGGGCCUUGUACACACCGCCCGUCACACCAUGGGAGUGGGUUGCAAAAGAAGUAGGUAG
rnacentral:rRNA from 1 species